AGGAAGUUUGGUUGAUGUACUUGAAGAGCCAUUAGGUAGUGAAAAAUAGUGUGGGGGAGUAGCUAGCCAUGAGGUUGGAAAUUUAGGCUUAGUCACACUUUCUGGAAGAUCGUGAAGCACUAAAGAAGUCACGCCAGGGACUUCCCAGUGGUCCAGUGGCUAAGACUCCGAAUUCCCAAUGGAGGGGCCCCGAGUUCCAUCCCUGGUCAGAGAACUAGAUCCUGCAUGCCACAACUAAAUAUCCCAAAUGUUGCAACUAAGGCCUGGUGCAGUCAACUAAUUUCCACAGCUCUCAGUUGUGGCAUGUCUGAUAGUUGCAGCAUGUGAACUCCUAGUUGGGACACGUGGGAUCUGGUUCCCUGACCAGGGACCCCACCCAGGCCCUCAGCAUUGGGAGCACAGAGUCCCAGCCCUGGAUCACCAGUUCCCUGGUGGUCUAGUGGGGCUAGGAUUCAGCGCUUUCACCACCACAGCCUGGGUUCAAUUCCCGGUCAUGGAAGUAACUUUUACGGCUCACCUGAUGGCUCAGCAGGAUCUUGAUUCCCCAAACAAGGAUCAAACCCACCCCCCAUGCAGUGGAAGCCCUGAACCUUAAGUUCCAAAGAUGUCAGUUUAAAAUAAACAGAGUGGACCCAUUUCUGACUCUCCCUUCCCACUGGAGUCUCGUCACAACUGCCAUAGGCUCACUGGUUCUUAGUCUUGCCAGGCAGCCACCGCUUCCCUCCACUGGGAGAGCGUGACCCUGCUACAUCAAAACAAGAGCAAGGAAGAGGAACUGGCCUUUGCUCCUGGAGAUUUGUCAGCUUCACCUCCGUGAAUUUUGUCCGUCAUCAGCACAAUCUUGCUAGGAAGCACGUGACUGCCCAAAGCCGGCAGGGCCCUCAAGGUCUCUGAGAUGGGCCUGGGCCUGUGGUCAGAGAGGCAAGUCUGCCCUCCCUCCUGCCUCGACUGUGUUUCCUUCACGGCAAGCCCUGACUCUUCCAUAUCUGACUUCAAGUCCUUGGCCUUCAGCACACUCUGUCAAAAUUAAUUUGACACCAAGCUGGCUUUCUCUAGAAAGUCUGGGAAACUUCUAAGCACGAGAGCAAGAUUCAUGUGGGAAGAAUUACCACAGCCCUUUCCUUAGGGCAGUCCUGAGAUUAGAAUCCUCUGUCUCCAGUGACAAGCCACUAAAGAAAGAAGCUGUUUAUCAAGGCUCAGGUGGGUAGAAAUAACUUGCUCAGAUUCUGGACGGCAGAGUCCAGCACGUCACCUGAUUUCCUGGCUCUGUUCUGUUACUUUGAUGGGAUGCCCUCUUCAAACCACAAACAGACUCUCAUCACCUCAAGAGCCUGCCUCUCUGUACACCUUUGCUCUGCUUGGAGAAGUUCUUCAUUUACUUCUGGAAUCAGCUGCUGGAUCUGUGCCAGCGCACCUCACCUUCUGGUCCAGGAACCGCAAGGCACAAGGAGCCUGCCAAGCUGGGAAGACAUCACAGAACUCAGUCCUGGUCGCCCGUUUGCUGCCAGAUUUCUUCGUAAGGAAGAUAGUUUCUGCCCAGACAGCAACAUAAUCUUCCCCCAAUCCCUGGCACAGAGGCUGGGCCACCGUUGUCAACCUGCUGUGAGAACACAUUUAAUAUAUGCUGUG
ensembl:lncRNA